CAGGGACUGGGUGACCCCCAGGGCCUUGGCAGAGUGCUCAAGUGAGGGCAGCAGUGGUAGGCGUGGAGUCAGGGAGCCUACACUCAGGGCAAGUGCUCUGUGGCUGUCCUGCUGUGGAGGGCUGGGAGCAGUGGGGUUGCUGUCAGUGGCUUCCACUCCACCACUGGUGGCAGCAGUCAGCAGCAGCUGUGAGCAGGGGAGCCUGUCCUCAGGGAAUAUGCAAAUGUAUGACCAUCCUGGUGCUGGAGGUAUUGGGGUCACUGCCAGUGGCUUAUGCUUUGGUCCCAGUGGCAGUGGCCAGCAGUGGUGGCAGCUGCAGAUGGGGGAUAUCAAUGUGGUUCCAGUGAUGUUGCUAUUCAGGAGCUGUUCUGCCUCAAGAUCUUUGCAACCCACGGAUCAGAAGGUCCCCUCAUAAGCUCAUGCAACCAGGGCCUUGGAUCCAAAGCAUAGAGCUGUGCAGACUUAUGGCGGCUUCUCAGCAAAAAACCAGCCAUCUAGAAACCAGGGAAGGUCCCUCACCAAGAACUCAACUAUGUUGCCACCUCAAUCUUGGACUUUCAGCUUCCAUAAAGACCUGUGCCACAGUGACUAUUUCUAGAGCGCCACCUGAAAACUCUAGAACAGGCCCAGGAGAUGAGAAGCCCAGCUCCCUACAGCCUACUGUACUCCAGGAUUCAGAGUCAGAGUCAUUCAGAUGUUUGGGGUCCAGCUUUGUGCACCUGCCUGCCUGGAAUGAGCUGGCUCUUCCAAUGGGUCAGAGGAUGCUGGAAUGUCAGUG
rnacentral:lncRNA from 10 species